rnacentral:rRNA from 1 species
UCCCGUCAAUCCAUUUAAGUUUCCUACGACAGGCAGCAGUGGGGAAUAUUGGACAAUGGGCGGAAGCCUGAUCCAGCCAUGCCGCGUGUGUGAAGAAGGCCUUUUGGUUGUAAAGCACUUUAAGCGAGGAGGAGGCUACUAGUACUAAUACUACUGGAUAGUGGACGUUACUCGCAGAAUAAGCACCGGCUAACUCUGUGCCAGCAGCCGCGGUAAUACAGAGGGUGCGAGCGUUAAUCGGAUUUACUGGGCGUAAAGCGUGCGUAGGCGGCUUUUUAAGUCGGAUGUGAAAUCCCCGAGCUUAACUUGGGAAUUGCAUUCGAUACUGGGAAGCUAGAGUAUGGGAGAGGAUGGUAGAAUUCCAGGUGUAGCGGUGAAAUGCGUAGAGAUCUGGAGGAAUACCGAUGGCGAAGGCAGCCAUCUGGCCUAAUACUGACGCUGAGGUACGAAAGCAUGGGGAGCAAACAGGAUUAGAUACCCUGGUAGUCCAUGCCGUAAACGAUGUCUACUAGCCGUUGGGGCCUUUGAGGCUUUAGUGGCGCAGCUAACGCGAUAAGUAGCAAUCCUGGGAAGCCGCACC